UACGAAGGGGGGCUAGCGUUGCUCGGAAUCACUGGGCGUAAAGCGCACGUAGGCGGACUCUUAAGUCGGUGGUGAAAUCCUGGAGCUCAACUCCAGAACUGCCUUUGAUACUGAGGACCUUGAGUUCGGGGAGAGGUGAGUGGAACUGCGAGUGUAAAGGGUGAAAUUCGUAGAUAUCGAGAGGAACACCGGUGGCGAAGGCGGCGAUCUGGACGAUGACUGACGCUGGAGACGCGAAAGCGUGGGGAGCAAACAGG
rnacentral:rRNA from 1 species